rnacentral:rRNA from 1 species
UACGGAGGGGGCAAGCGUUGUUCGGAAUUACUGGGCGUAAAGGGCGCGCAGGCGGCUGCUCAAGUCAGGCGUGAAAGGCCUGGGCUCAACCCGGGAAUUGCGCUUGAGACUGGGCUGGCUUGAGUGCGGGAGAGGGAUGCGGAAUUCCAGGUGUAGCGGUGAAAUGCGUAGAUAUCUGGAGGAACACCGGUGGCGAAGGCGGCAUCCUGGACCGGUAUUGACACUGAGGCGCGAAAGCCAGGGGAGCAAACGGG